CCUACGGGAGGCAGCAGUCGAGAAUCAUUCACAAUGGGGGAAACCCUGAUGGUGCGACGCCGCGUGGGGGAAUAAAUGUCUUCGUAUUGUAAACCCUUUCCAUGUGGGAGCAAAUUAAAAUGAUAGUAUCACAAGAGGAAGCGACGGCUAACGCUGCGCCAGCAGCCGUGGUAAUACAGCGGUCUCAAGCGUUCUUCGGAAUCACUGGGCGUAAAGCGUGCGUCGGCUGUUUCGUAAGUCGUGUGUGAAAGGCGCGGGCUCAACCCUCGGACGGCAGAUGAUACUGCGAGGCUAGAGUAAUGGAGGGGGAACCGGAAUUCUCGGUGUAGCGGUGAAAUGCGUAGAUA
rnacentral:rRNA from 1 species